rnacentral:rRNA from 1 species
GAUGAACGCUGGCGGCGUGCCUAAUACAUGCAAGUCGAGCGAACGGACGAGAAGCUUGCUUCUCUGAUGUUAGCGGCGGACGGGUGAGUAACACGUGGAUAACCUACCUAUAAGACUGGGAUAACUUCGGGAAACCGGAGCUAAUACCGGAUGAUAUUUUGAACCGCAUGGUUCAAAAGUGAAAGACGGUCUUGCUGUCACUUAUAGAUGGAUCCGCGCUGCAUUAGCUAGUUGGUAAGGUAACGACUUACCAAGGCAACGAUGCAUAGCCGACCUGAGAGGGUGAUCGGCCACGCUGGAACUGAGACACGGUCCAGACUCCUACGGGAGGCAGCAGUAGGGAAUCUUCCGCAAUGGGCGAAAGCCUGACGGAGCAACGCCGCGUGAGUGAUGAAGGUCUUCGGAUCGUAAAACUCUGUUAUUAGGGAAGAACAUAUGUGUAAGUAACUGUGCACAUCUUGACGGUACCUAAUCAGAAAGCCACGGCUAACUACGUG